GAUGAAGAACGCAGCGAAAUGCGAUAAGUAAUGUGAAUUGCAGAAUUCAGUGAAUCAUCGAAUCUUUGAACGCACAUUGCGCCCGCCAGUAUUCUGGCGGGCAUGCCUGUUCGAGCGUCAUUACAACCCUCAGGCCCCCGGGCCUGGCGUUGGGGAUCGGCGGAGCCCCCCGUGGGCACACGCCGUCCCCCAAAUACAGUGGCGGUCCCGCCGCAGCUCCCAUCGCGUAGUAGCUAACACCUCGCGACUGGAGAGCGGCGCGGCCACGCCGUAAAACACCCAACUCUUCUGAAGUUGACCUCGAAUCAGGUAGGAAUACCCGCUGAACUUAAGCAUAUCAAUAAGCGGAGGA
rnacentral:misc_RNA from 1 species